rnacentral:precursor_RNA from 8 species
UGUGCUCACGUCUCCUGGUUGAGGACAGUACGGCUCUUUAUCUGGUAGACUUGUGCAAACGCCCCAAGCUGCCUGGUAAAGAGCUGUCUCGUCGCAACCCUUCUCAGCAGUUCGCGAU